rnacentral:rRNA from 1 species
GGGUGAGUAAUGCAUCGGAAUGUACCGUGUAAUGGGGGAUAGCUCGGCGAAAGCCGGAUUAAUACCGCAUACGCCCUGAGGGGGAAAGUGGGGGACCGAAAGGCCUCACGUUAUACGAGCAGCCGAUGUCUGAUUAGCUAGUUGGUGGGGUAAAGGCUCACCAAGGCGACGAUCAGUAGCGGGUCUGAGAGGAUGAUCCGCCACACUGGGACUGAGACACGGCCCAGACUCCUACGGGAGGCAGCAGUGGGGAAUUUUGGACAAUGGGCGCAAGCCUGAUCCAGCCAUGCCGCGUGUCUGAAGAAGGCCUUCGGGUUGUAAAGGACUUUUGUCCGGGAGCAAAUCCCAGUGGUUAACACCUACUGGGGCUGAGAGUACCGGAAGAAUAAGCACCGGCUAACUACGUGCCAGCAGCCGCGGUAAUACGUAGGGUGCAAGCGUUAAUCGGAAUUACUGGGCGUAAAGCGUGCGCAGGCGGUUGUGCAAGUCUGAUGUGAAAGCCCCGGGCUUAACCUGGGAACGGCAUUGGAGACUGCACGACUAGAGUGCGUCAGAGGGGGGUAGAAUUCCGCGUGUAGCAGUGAAAUGCGUAGAGAUGCGGAGGAAUACCGAUGGCGAA